AUAGCGGUACUAGCUUCUUUCACAAUGCCCUCCCCUCUUUCUGCGUUAGGAGAAGGCGAACACUGGCGAAGAGGCGAGUGGAAAGGAGACAUAUAUCGUACCGCCAAAUUUGUUCUCCUCGGCAAGAACAAGCAAGCAUGACCACUACAAUGGUGCGGUGACGUCAGGUCCUAGCGAUGACGACGCAGGCGACGCCCAGCAGCAUGAGGAAGGCGACGGAGAGCACCACCACGCUGGACUUCAUCAUCACCUUCUGGAGCCGACUGUGCUGAGCCAGGUUGUGCGUACUGGGAG